GACCAGACUCCUACGGGAGGCAGCAGUGGGGGAUAUUGCACAAUGGGGGAAACCCUGACGCAGCAACGCCGCGUGCGGGACGAAGGCCCUCGGGUUGUAAACCGCUUUCAGCAGGGAAGAUCCAAGACGGUACCUGCAGAAGAAGCUCCGGCUAACUACGUGCCAGCAGCCGCGGUAAUACGUAGGGGGCAAGCGUUAUCCGGAUUUACUGGGCGUAAAGGGAGCGCAGACGGCGCGCCAAGUCUGAUGUGAAACCCCGGGGCUCAACCCCGGGCAUGCAUUGGAAACUGGCGGGCUGGAGUGCCGGAGAGGUAAGCGGAAUUCCUAGUGUAGCGGUGAAAUGCGUAGAUAUUAGGAGGAACACCAGUGGCGAAGGCAGCAUACCGGUGCACAACUGACGCUCAGGCACGAAAGCGUGGGUAUCGAACAGGAUUAGAUACCCUAGUA
rnacentral:rRNA from 1 species